CAGUAGCGCGAUUCUGUAACUCGUUAUGCUGUCGUUAUGGACUCAUAACGACAAGUUUCGUUAUGCUACCGACCGCGUCGCUAUUAUAACGACAAAUGCGAUUCUGUACACUAUUCUUAGCGAGUUUUGUCGUUAUUAGUAACGAAAAGUGUCGUUAUGAUGUCGUUACGGUGCGAGCGGAUAGCGAGGCUCAGAGACCCCCUCGGUACGCUAUAACGACCAUUAUAACGACACUUUGCACACGAGCUAGAGGAGUGGUGUGCGUUUCCCAUAUUUUUCUCGACUCCGAGAAAGUGCUUCGAAAAGUGCUCCGAAAGUGAAAAAUAAUUACGACGUUUGAAAUAACAAGAUCAUGGCUAUCGAAUACCUUGCUUGGGAUGUAUUCGUUCUUGAGGAAAGAUUACGUCGACUCGAACGUCGUGUGGAAAGAAGGCGACUGAGAGAUGCUCAGAAUCCUUUUCAGCUACCACGAGAAGAGUUUCUCAGCCUUUUUCGCCUGCCUCAAGAAGCUGUGAUGAAUCUUGGUUAACACCUCAGCAAAGCAGCAUAGGUGAUGCUGGAUAUCCGUUGGAGCCUUGGCUGUUAACACCUCUGGCCAAUUUUCCUGAAGAUACGCGACAACAUCAAUAUACACAACAACUAUGUAAGGCUAGAAGCGUCGUCGAGCGGUUUUUUGGAGUUUUUAAAUCUGUAUGGAGAUGCUUGUCAUACCAGCGAGUCUUGAUGUACGAACCAGCGUUCGCAGCGAAAAUUGUUAAUGCGUGUGCAGUACUGCACAACA
rnacentral:lncRNA from 1 species